rnacentral:rRNA from 1 species
GACGAACCUUGCUAACGUUAUUCGGAAUUACUGGGCUUAAAGGGAGCGCAGGCGGACUGGUAAGUCAGUGGUGAAAGCCCUGGGCUCAACCCGGGAACUGCCAUUGAUACUAUCAGUCUUGAAUAUCGUUGAGGUUUGCGGAAUGGGUCAUGUAGCGGUGAAAUGCAUAGAUAUGACCCGGAACACCUAUUGCGAAGGCAGCAGGCUAAGCGAAGAUUGACGCUGAGGCUCGAAAGCGUGGGGAUCAAACAGG